rnacentral:rRNA from 1 species
AUUGAACGCUGGCGGCAGGCUUAACACAUGCAAGUCGAACGAGUGGCGGACGGGUGCGUAAUGUCUGGGAAACUGCCUGAUGGAGGGGGAUAACUACUGGAAACGGUAGCUAAUACCGCAUACCAUCAGAUGUGCCCAGAUGGGAUUAGCUAGUAGGUGGGGUAAUGGCUCACCUAGGCGACGCUCCCUAGCUGGUCUGAGAGGAUGACCAGCCAAACGGGAACUGGGAAACGGUCCAGACUCCUACGGGGGGCAGCAGUGGGGAAUAUUGCACAAUGGGCGCAAGCCUGAUGCAGCCAUGCCGCGUGUGUGAAGAAGGCCUUCGGGUUGUAAAGCACUUUCAGCGAGGAGGCGUUACUCGCAGAAGAAGCACCGGCUAACUCCGUGCCAGCCGCCGCGGUAAUUC